CCGCGAUCCGCGCGCUGCCCACGGGCGCCCGAGCAACAGACCCUCGCUGCGCCUCCACACCGAGCCCCGUGGCUCCCCCGCCCCACCUCGACCCCUGGUAACCGAGGUCACAAGAUCAGGAGCGCGUGUAGGGGACGCGGACCUCCUCCCCCACCAACUCCACGGGUGCCCUCCGAGGAAGGACGGUUGAGAGACCCUCCUGCCUCCCGAUGCUGCAGGGGGCUACAGUAAGACAGCCGUUCAGUUCACUUCGUGUCUGACUCUCUGCGACCCCAUGGACUGCAGCCUACCAGGCCUCCCUGUCCGUCACCGACUGACAUCAUCUAAUUAAUUGUCUACAUUUUCUGACUGGGCAAAGAGCGGGUUUCAAGCGUUGGAGCCCACAGGAUGGAGGGCUAGUGUAGGCACCGGAGUGUUCUAACGGUGUCCUUCUGGUACUGAUGACACCCCCAGGGCAGGUGUUUAAUCCACAUACAUGGAGCGGAUGUACACAGCAGGUGUUUAAUCCACAUACGUGGAGUGAAUGGGUCACAGAUGGCCCCAGCGCUGGGAUCGUGAGCGUUUGCAGUCGAUAAAAUGCAGGCCCCAAGUUAAUGGGGAAACUGGUUCUCCUCACACCCGCUGUGGAAAGGAGAGGAGUUAAGCGAGCCUAGGCAAGCGUGAGAAGCAAUCGUGGCUAGACUGUGCAAUUCCUGUAAAAGCUUGGUUCCCGGAGCCCCCCGCUGGAGCAAUUCUCUCCCUCAGCCUCAGCAGCAUCGCCUCACUCUGGAGAUGAUUAAGGCCUUGGGUACCGCCGCCCGAGCACUUGUGAUGCAUUGCAGCUCCGCUGAGCCUGGCUGAGAGGGAAAAUCCAAGCUAACCUUCAGUCCUGCCCACCUCCCCCCCCCCCCCCCCCCCCCGCCAGCCCGCACUGCACUCAUCCCCUCUCACCAACUUCACUUAAAAACGCUCGGUUCCCGUCCUUGUGUGGAGAGCAGCAGCAACUUCUGCAGAAAACAGACCCAUCAGAAGCUACAGAGCCUGAAGAGCUACUGACCUAAUUGUUUAUUUGCAGGACCACCAAAACCAGAUCUUCUCCAGGGCAGCUGAACAGCAACAUUUCAGGGCUGACAGGAGAGAUAAGCAAACUCAUAUAUGCCCUGGAGGUGCAGGGAUUAUUCAUCUUUAUCAUCACUGUUAGUAUUUUAAGUGGGUUUGCAGCCACAGUGAGAUCACAGUUUGGCCAGCCACUCCACACUGAAUGGCUGCAGAAAGUUGGCCCUGUGUCGGGCAAUACUGCUUCGUUUAAGGAGUUUCUCUAAGGCGCACCAGAUCCAGUGGUUUUCACAGGAGCCCCCUGCCCUGUGUUCACUGCGAUGGGCACACGCUUGCAGACACACCCUGAGCCAGUUCAUGGCGCCCCUGGUCCCAGUGGAGCAGGGCCCCUUUAGGCCGGCGUCCAGACGUGCCCUGCAGCCGCUCAGCCACGUGGGAGUGUGCACUGGGGCGGGGCAGGGAGCCUGUCAGGAUGUUUCGUAUGUUUGCAUUGAUGGCCAAGGCCUAGGACUUUUGUCCAAAGUGUAGUCAGACUAGUACUUUGCAAAUGCCACCCGCAGACACCACCAGUUUCAGGAAAUGUUUGAAUGAUUGCCAAGUGUUCCAUUCACCCCAGUAUUUUUUAUUUAAUGGUUAUUCUGCUCCUGAAUCCACUCUUCGUUUCAUCUCUGAAUUCCCAGUCUGUCAGACAGGCAGUUCAGGGAAGCAGGGCCCUCCUGUGGCUGAGACAGAACUCGCUCUCUGGAGCAAAGAGCGGUGUGAGACUCAGGAAUACAGUGUGAAGCGCACUGCUCCUGCUGGCCUUCACCAAGAGCCAUACCUCUGCACUGGGCAUUCCACUAGUGGGACACACCUAUUUACUUGCAUUUGGGAACAAACUUUAUUACCUGAGAUAGAAAUAUGUCAGUUCAGUUCAGUCACUGAGUCAUGUCCAACUCUUUGCGACCCCAUGGACUGCAGCACGCCAGGCUUCCCUGUCCAUCACCAGCUCCCUAGAGUUUGCUCAAACUCAGUCCAUCAAGUCGGUGAUGCCAUCCAACCAUUUCAUCCUCUGUUGUCUUCUCCUCCUAAAUAUAUAUAUAUAUGUAUAUAUAUGCAAAUAUGUAGGAAGUCUGUAUGUUCCACAGAUGUAAGAGAAUAAAGGAGAUUGUGGAAAUAGCUCAUUAAAUAAAUGAUGUAAU
ensembl:lncRNA